GAACAUAAACAACAUAAUGUGGUACACACUAGUGCUGGGCGAUAUGGAAAAAAUCAUAUAUCACGAUAUGGAUUAUUUUAUAUCACAAUAACGAUAUAUAUCACGAUAUACCACAAUAAAGUAUGUUUUCAGUUAUUCUCUGAAAAGUUUGACAAAAAUUUCAUUGCUAACUUUUCUCCAGC